rnacentral:rRNA from 1 species
UACAGAGGUCUCAAGCGUUGUUCGGAAUCACUGGGCUUAAAGGGCGCGUAGGCGGGCCAGCAAGUCAGGGGUGAAAUCCCACGGCUCAACCGUGGAAGGGCCUUUGAUACUGUCGGCCUCGAGGGAGGUAGGGGCGUGCGGAACUUCCGGUGGAGCGGUGAAAUGCGUAGAUAUCGGAAGGAACAUCGGUGGCGAAAGCGGCGCGCUGGACCUCUUCUGACGCUGAGGUGCGAAAGCCAGGGGAGCAAACGGG